UACUGAGUGUAUGGUGGAAGAGUAAAAAU
rnacentral:piRNA from 1 species